GAUGAAGAACGUAGCGAAAUGCGAUAAGUAAUGUGAAUUGCAGAAUUCAGUGAAUCAUCGAAUCUUUGAACGCACAUUGCGCCCGCCAGUAUUCUGGCGGGCAUGCCUGUCUGAGCGUCAUUUCAACCCUCAUGCCCCUAGGGCGUGGUGUUGGGGAUCGGCCAAAGCCCGCGAGGGACGGCCGGCCCCUAAAUCUAGUGGCGGACCCGUCGUGGCCUCCUCUGCGAAGUAGUGAUAUUCCGCAUCGGAGAGCGACGAGCCCCUGCCGUUAAACCCCCAACGUUCCAAGGUUGACCUCAGAUCAGGUAGGAAUACCCGCUGAACUUAAGCAUAUCAAUAAGCGGAGGA
rnacentral:misc_RNA from 1 species